rnacentral:rRNA from 1 species
GACGUUAGCGACAGAAGAAAGCACCGGCUAACUCCGUGCCAGCAGCCGCGGUAAUACGGAGGGUGCGAGCGUUAAUCGGAAUUACUGGGCGUAAAGCGCAUGCAGGUGGUUUGUUAAGUCAGAUGUGAAAGACCCGGGGCGUCAACCUCGGAAUAGCAUUUGUAAACUAGGCAGACUAGAGUACUGUAGAGGGGGGUAGGAAUUUCAGGUGUAGCGGUGAAAUAGCGUAGAGAUCUGAAGGAAUACCGGUGGCGAAGGCGGCCCCCUCGGACAGAUACUGACACUCAGAUGCGAAAGCGUGGGGAGCAAACAGGAUUAGAUACCCUGGUAG